rnacentral:rRNA from 1 species
AUGCUGGGUAGAGGUAUUAAUUUGAACAGGGGAGAUGUGGCUAGACUCCGGCUCUAUAGCCUGGAUGGUAGAAUCCCCUUCAAAGACAGAUUCCCACUACUCUUUGAGACUUGUAUUGAUCAAAACUGUACUGUUGACAAAUUUAAGAAUCUUAACCAGAUCUCCUCAUUUAGGAGGAGGAUGUCUCAUGAGAUGACGAAACAAUGGGAGGAAAUGAAUAAAGAGAUGUUAACGUUGAAACAAAGUGAUUUGCCAGAUGAGGUUUAUUGGAAAUUGGAUAGUUCGGGCAAAUAUAAUACAAAGUCCAUGUACACAUGGCUGGAAAGGGAUAUAGCAGGAUCUAAAUUUAAUUGGAUUUGGGAUGCUAAACUUCCUCUUAAAAUUCAGAUAUUCUUGUGGUAG